UGAACUAUUUCUUUUAGUGCACACUUUUCUCUCUCUCGCGUUCACUGUGUCGCUCAGUCACUGCAAUUGGCUUCCUAUAAUUCUCUCCCCGCAAUUCCGUCUCUUUAUCUGUUUAGUUUCGUUUAUCUUAUCAGCAAGCGCGCAAUACGAUACGACACGGUUCCCGGGAAUGGCGAUUUCCGGUACGGCUGAAAGCACAGGCACCACAGGCACCACCGCCACGAUGCCACACGCCGGUUCGGAUCUUCGAAAACGACAUAGCGCCACCGCAACCACGGAAGUAUCCGAUUCAAAUUCCAAAACGAAGGAUCCGGAACCCGAUAAUUUGGUGAGAGAAUCAGUCAAAGUCAGAGAUUCGAGCAGCGACGAGUCUGCGGCUGGGAAGAGCUGCGAAGACGACGGGGAUAGGAGCGAGGUUGCAAUUGAAUCGAGGAAUCCUGUGGCUAAUGGAAACGACGGCGGUGAGAAGAUUGCGAACGGUGAGGAUCGGGGAACGGAUUUCGCGGCGGUGAAGCUCGCGUAUCGGCCAUCGGCUCCGGCUCACCGAAGAAUAAAGGAGAGUCCUCUUAGCUCCGACGCAAUCUUCAGACAAAGUCAUGCAGGUCUCUUUAAUCUCUGUAUAGUAGUGCUUGUUGCUGUAAACAGCAGACUAAUCAUUGAAAAUCUUAUGAAGUAUGGCUGGUUAAUUAGGACUGGUUUUUGGUUUAGUUCGAGAUCAUUGGGAGAUUGGCCCCUUCUUAUGUGUUGUCUUACACUCCCGAUAUUUUCAGCUGCUGCCUUCGUAGUGGAAAAAUUAGUACAGUGGAAGUAUAUCUCUGAACCUGUUGUUGUUUUACUUCAUUUAAUCAUUACCACAGCGGCACUUUUGUAUCCAGUUUUUGUUAUUCUAGGGUGCGAUUCUGCAGUUUUAUCUGGCGUCACCUUGAUGCUAUUUGCUUGCAUCGUAUGGUUAAAAUUGGUGUCUUAUACGCAUACAAACUAUGAUAUGAGAUCACUGGCGAAAUCUAUUGAAAAGGGGGAUGUACUGCCCAAUUCUCUGAAUCCGGAUUAUCCUUACAGUGAUUGCUUCAAGAGUCUGGCUUACUUCAUGGUUGCCCCAACGUUAUGUUACCAGCCAAGCUAUCCUCGUACGGCAUGCAUUCGAAAGGGUUGGGUGGUUCGUCAACUAGUCAAGUUGAUAAUAUUUACAGGAGUUAUGGGAUUCAUAAUAGAACAAUAUAUUAAUCCUAUUGUCAAGAAUUCCCAACAUCCCUUGAAAGGGAACCUUCUAUAUGCCAUUGAGAGGGUUUUGAAGCUUUCAGUUCCAAAUUUAUAUGUGUGGCUUUGCAUGUUCUACUGCUUUUUUCACCUCUGGUUAAAUAUACUGGCUGAACUUCUUCGAUUUGGUGAUCGUGAGUUUUACAAAGAUUGGUGGAAUGCAAAGACAGUUGAAGAGUAUUGGAGAAUGUGGAAUAUGCCUGUUCAUAAGUGGAUGAUUCGUCAUAUCUACUUUCCAUGCUUGCGGAAUGGGAUACCAAAGGGAGUUGCCGUUCUAAUUGCCUUCCUUGUAUCUGCCAUAUUCCAUGAGCUAUGCAUAGCUGUUCCAUGCCACAUAUUCAAGUGGUGGGCUUUUAUUGGAAUUAUGUUGCAGGUUCCAUUGGUUCUGAUUACUAAUUACCUGCAAAAUAAGUUCAGAAACUCUAUGGUGGGAAACAUGAUCUUCUGGUUCAUUUUCAGCAUUCUUGGUCAACCCAUGUGUCUGCUUCUAUACUACCAUGACUUGAUGAACCGUAAAGGGAAGACGGAAUAAACUAUUAUUCCCUCGUUGCCUCAAAGUGUAUGGAAAGUAUAACAAAAUGGGGCCAAUGGGCUAUCUGCUAGAAAAUUCAAAGAUUUCUUCCCACGUGACAUUUUAUGAAUAUUGUUCUUUUGGAGAAACUAUGAACCGACACCUGAUUUGCAAUUAUUCCCUACAGUUUAAAAAGAUAAAAAGCCUAUGGAUUACUGAUGCGGACUUAUGGCCUAGUCUUGGGUCUUUGUGGAAGGAUUCCUUAGGCUUGGCCAUGGGUCUAAAUGGCCAGAGAUCCACGAGCCAGAGACAAUCUCCAGUCUCCAUGGUUGAGGGCCAAAGCAUUACACUUGUCACAGUUUGGAGGGCCAAUUCCCACUGUAACAAAUUGACAGUUUGGAGGGCCAAAGCAUGACACUUGUCAAUUCGUGGUGUUUUAUAAAAAAUAGUUGUUAAUUCAGGAAACUAAAUUAUAUUAAACCCUAAAAAUAAAAAAAUAAAAAGCUUUUUUUUUUUUUUUUUUUAAAGUAAGUCAUAAUUAUAUUUUUCACAUAUAGGAUUAGGGGGUAUAAUUGAUCAUUUUUAUCAUGUGAUUAAUUUUUCGUCCAAGUCCAAGAUAACAAAAAUUGCUACCAGUGGAGGCAAUCUGAAAAUGUUGAGUAGCAGGAGGUUGAUUGUCACUUUUUAAUAUUUUUAGUGUAGAUUGCAAAUGGUGGGUUAGUUCGAGAAAUGCAGGCCACAGAAAUCA